UUGGAGAAUCGAUGAAGCUCAGGAGGGAUAGCGCCAUGAUCAUAUGUAUGCUACUUAGCUGUGGCGCUAUCUAUCCUGAGUUUCACGGGUUCUCCUU
rnacentral:pre_miRNA from 1 species